CAAAAUCUGUUAACUUUGUCUAAUGCCAUUGUAUUUCUACUCUUAUUUAACUGUUUUACAACUUUUCCAGUAAACUGAGUACAUUUAU